rnacentral:rRNA from 1 species
UACGUAGGGUGCAAGCGUUGUCCGGAAUUAUUGGGCGUAAAGAGCUCGUAGGCGGUUUGUCGCGUCUGCUGUGAAAACUCGGGGCUCAACCCCGGGCCUGCAGUGGGUACGGGCAGACUAGAGUGCGGUAGGGGAGACUGGAAUUCCUGGUGUAGCGGUGAAAUGCGCAGAUAUCAGGAGGAACACCGGUGGCGAAGGCGGGUCUCUGGGCCGUAACUGACGCUGAGGAGCGAAAGCGUGGGGAGCGAACAGG